UAGGGAAUAUUGGUAAUGGGCGAAAACCUGAACCAGCAACGCCGCGUGUGCGAUGAAGGCCUUCGGGUUGUAAAGCACUUUUGACCGGGACGAGGAAGGACGGUACCGGUGGAAUAAGCCUCGGCUAACUACGUGCCAGCAGCCGCGGUAAAACGUAGGAGGCGAGCGUUAUCCGGAUUUACUGGGUGUAAAGCGCGUGCAGGCGGUUAGCUAAGUUGGGUGUGAAAGCUCCUGGCUCAACUGGGAGAGGUCGCUCAAGACUGGCUGACGCGAGGAUGGUAGGGGAAGGUGGAAGUCCGGGUG
rnacentral:rRNA from 1 species